GAAGGUUUUGACCUACAUAAUAAUGAACAUUUCACUAAUCUACAAUUCUGAUUGCAGUACCUUUUGUUUUGAUGAGGUGAUGGUGAGGACAGCCACAGCUUCCAUCUGGUAGAGGACUGCUUCCGCUCAGUCUUCCAAAUAGUGAUGAGAACAAGGAUCACCACAUCUCCCUGGUUAUCUGUCUACAACUAUACCUGUCCUGCUGCAGAAACAAAUCUCCAACAUAACUAAGUGUACCCCCUACCCAGGACAUGGAUUAUCCUACUUGUAUGCAUUUCGUCAGCAAGGGCCUGCAAAAGCUUCCGUCCAUAAACCUCCAGACUUCUUAAUUAACUCAGUAACCUGUACAACCUAUAUAUUAACCUAUACAAUAAAGUUAGCUUUAACUAUUACGUAUUUCACUGAACUCUGUUUUUCUGAGAGGAAAACACUUUUAUUCAGGAAAUCAUAGAAAGAGAAAAACAUGUAAUUUCAAUACUAAUAUGGUAGGCUAUCAAAUUUGGACCGGCCAUAAAUAAAAAGCAUAUAAAUUAUAUAUAAAUUAAAACAAAAAUCUUAAUGAGUAUUGCACUCACAAAAAACACAUAUUUACUCAAAUGGUAAAGGAGUUAUUCCACAGGGGCCCGUUUCAAGAAAGAGGUUUAACAAACUGAGUUAAAACGAACCUCUGAGUUGAUUUACUCUGAGUUUGCAAACCUGGAGUUUUCGGUUCCAGAACAGCUGAAAAGAGUUGGUUUAAGCAACUCUGAGUUGUCUGACUCAGAGUUAAGCGCGUGCACCGCGACGAUACAAAGCCCUGAUCAAUGGAGUGAAGAUAUUACGAGUCACCAUGGCAAUAGGACGGAAUAGAGAUAGGAAUAGAGAUGUCCGGAAAUGGAUUUGAUACGUCAAGCAAAUAGCGACUACGAGCCUAUAUUGCGUAGAAAAAGCAACACGGCUGCAGCGGCAAAAGAGAAAGAAUUAGCUUGGAAGAAAAUAGCUGCUUGAGUCAAUGCCUAAGUUUACAUUUUAAUCAUACAGUGUUCAGCGUAACUAAAUACUAAAAAUUCCUACUUUAAAAUUCCUGUUGUGGUUGAUGUGGGAUUUGUAAAGUAUGAUAAUGAUAAUUCAAUACUCCAAUACGUUUUAUGGAGAGCAAUUAUUACAUUAAUCUAAUUAGAAUUUUAAAAGUUACCCAAAACACAAUUUUUACGUAGGCGCAAUCCUGCAGGCAUAAAAGAACGUGGCUAAAAAUUAAAUAUAAAAACAUAAUUCAAACAGGUAUAAGGCACCAUCAUAUCAUGAGUGUAGACUUCCUGACAACAUUUGACAUAUUAAAUAACUAAAUAGCAUGCAGAGUAUAGCAGUGCAGCAGCAUUUUCAACAUGGCUGUAAUGUUUUCACACAGUUAAAUCAUUUGACUUCUACUCAGCCAACAGAAAGAAGGCAGAGGCUAGAACAACUGGUGGAGGACCUGCACCACCAACAUUGACGCAUGCCUGAACACUGGAAAGCAGAGGCUGAAGGAAUUCCUGGAGGGAGUUCAUCAGAACCAGUCACUCCCCAGGAUACAAGUGCAUUUGUAAAAUAUUCUGAAUAAUAUGAAUCCUCCUGUCACAACAGAAGCCCAGGAUGUUAGUGUGAAAGAACAGCAGGAAGAGGUCAGUCACAUUCUGCUGCACAGAUGCACACAGUUCAGUGAUGUUCAAUAAACACCAGAGUUCAAUUCUGUAAGAGUAAUGAGGAACUUUGUCUUGUAACUAUAAAUCUUCUGUAU